UUUAAUUGCAGGCUAAACUUGACCUUGGUAUCACCAGCCUUUAAGAGCUUUAAGAUCAAAGAUUAUGCCCAGCACAUUACAGUAGUGAUAGUCAGGUCUAAUCCUUAUGGCAGUCGGGCAGAGCACAACUUCCUGACAUCAAUUUUCAUGCAAUCCUCCUCGUGUUCUCGGCUUUCCAUUAACUGUGGAAGAAGGACAUAAUCCAGUGGCUAGGAAGAAAAUGGCCCCUUCUGCACACAAGAACUUCAGUAUCUGCUCUCUGGUGAAGUACAAGCUUGACAUUG
rnacentral:lncRNA from 1 species